UUCUUAGACCUGUGCAAUGUUUUUUAUAAGCACCGUUUCAGGGUAGGAAUACAGCAGAACACUUGUUUUUAACAUGUGCCGCAGCCAUCUUGGAAGGG
rnacentral:SRP_RNA from 1 species